AAAUUGAAGAGUUUGAUCAUGGCUCAGAUUGAACGCUGGCGGCAGGCCUAACACAUGCAAGUCGAACGGUAACAGGAAACAGCUUGCUGUUUCGCUGACGAGUGGCGGACGGGUGAGUAAUGUCUGGGAAACUGCCUGAUGGAGGGGGAUAACUACUGGAAACGGUAGCUAAUACCGCAUAACGUCGCAAGACCAAAGAGGGGGACCCUCGGGCCUCUUGCCAUCGGAUGUGCCCAGAUGGGAUUAGCUUGUUGGUGGGGUAACGGCUCACCAAGGCGACGAUCCCUAGCUGGUCUGAGAGGAUGACCAGCCACACUGGAACUGAGACACGGUCCAGACUCCUA
rnacentral:rRNA from 1 species